rnacentral:pre_miRNA from 1 species
AUCACCCAGAGAUCUUCUUAAAAUGCAGAUUUAGGUUCAAUAUAUCCCAGAUGGGCCCAAGGUUCUGCAUUUCUAACAAGCUCCCAUGUGAUGCUGA